rnacentral:rRNA from 1 species
UUAUACGGUGAACUGCGAAUGGCUCAUUAAAUCAGUUAUCGUUUAUUUGAUAGUACCUUACUACAUGGAUACCUGUGGUAAUUCUAGAGCUAAUACAUGCUAAAAACCUCGACUUCGGAAGGGGUGUAUUUAUUAGAUAAAAAACCAAUGCCCUUCGGGGCUCCUUGGUGAAUCAUAAUAACUUAACGAAUCGCAUGGCCUUGCGCCGGCGAUGGUUCAUUCAAAUUUCUGCCCUAUCAACUUUCGAUGGUAGGAUAGUGGCCUACCAUGGUGGCAACGGGUAACGGGGAAUUAGGGUUCGAUUCCGGAGAGGGAGCCUGAGAAACGGCUACCACAUCCAAGGAAGGCAGCAGGCGCGCAAAUUACCCAAUCCCGACACGGGGAGGUAGUGACAAUAAAUACUGAUACGGGGCUCUUUUGGGUCUCGUAAUUGGAAUGAGUACAAUCUAAAUCCCUUAACGAGGAACAAUUGGAGGGCAAGUCUGGUGCCAGCAGCCGCGGUAAUUCCAGCUCCAAUAGCGUAUAUUAAAGUUGUUGCAGUUAAAAAGCUCGUAGUUGAACCUUGGGUCUGGCUGGCCGGUCCGCCUCACCGCGAGUACUGGUCCGGCUGGACCUUUCCUUCUGGGGAACCUCAUGGCCUUCACUGGCUGUGGGGGGAACCAGGACUUUUACUGUGAAAAAAUUAGAGUGUUCAAAGCAGCCUUUGCUCGAAUACAUUAGCAUGGAAAUAAUAGAAUAGGACGUGCGGUUCUAUUUUGUUGGUUUCUA